AACGAACGCUGGCGGCAUGCCUAACACAUGCAAGUCGAACGAGACCUUCGGGUCUAGUGGCGCACGGGUGCGUAACGCGUGGGAAUCUGCCCCUUGGUUCGGAAUAACAGUUAGAAAUGACUGCUAAUACCGGAUGAUGACUUCGGUCCAAAGAUUUAUCGCCAAGGGAUGAGCCCGCGUAAGAUUAGGUAGUUGGUGGGGUAAAGGCCUACCAAGCCGACGAUCUUUAGCUGGUCUGAGAGGAUGAUCAGCCACACUGGGACUGAGACACGGCCCAGACUCCUACGGGAGGCAGCAGUGGGGAAUAUUGGACAAUGGGCGAAAGCCUGAUCCAGCAAUGCCGCGUGAGUGAUGAAGGCCUUAGGGUUGUAAAGCUCUUUUACCAGGGAUGAUAAUGACAGUACCUGGAGAAUAAGCUCCGGCUAACUCCGUGCCAGCAGCCGCGGUAAU
rnacentral:rRNA from 1 species